UUAUUUAUUCUCUGUGACAGUUUGGACUAUAAUUUACAAAUACGUGUCGGACACUAAUUACUCUUUUAAUCUAUUGUUGUUUCUAAUUUGUCAUCUGUUAAUAUACUUAAUCCUUUAAUUGCUUGUGCUUAUAUAUAUUGUUAUUGUUUGUAUGUGACUGGACAUUUAGUUUGGAGUUUAUUGUUCGGUCUUGCCGGACUACUAAAAUAAAAGUUUAAGGAG
rnacentral:lncRNA from 1 species